rnacentral:rRNA from 1 species
AACGCGAAGAACCUUACCUACCCUUGACAUGUACGGAACCUUCCAGAGAUGGUUGGGUGCCCGAAAGGGAACCGUAACACAGGUGCUGCAUGGCUGUCGUCAGCUCGUGUCGUGAGAUGUUGGGUUAAGUCCCGCAACGAGCGCAACCCUUGUCAUUAGUUGCUACAUUUAGUUGGGCACUCUAGUGAGACUGCCGGUGACAAACCGGAGGAAGGUGGGGAUGACGUCAAGUCCUCAUGGCCCUUAUGGGUAGGGCCUCACACGUAAUACAAUGGCCGGUACAGAGGGCUGCCAACCCGCAAGGGGGAGCCAAUCUCAGAAAGCCGGUCGUAGUCCGGAUUGUUCUCUGCAACUCGAGAACAUGAAGUCGGAAUCGCUAGUAAUCGCGGAUCAGCAUGUCGCGGUGAAUACGUUCCCGGGCCUUGUACACACCGGCUAC